CCUACGGGAGGCAGCAGUGGGGAAUAUUGGACAAUGGGGGCAACCCUGAUCCAGCCAUGCCGCGUGUAUGAAGAAGGCCCUCGGGUUGUAAAGCACUUUCAGUGAGGAAGAACGCCUGGUGGUUAAUACCCAUCAGGAAAGACAUCACUCACAGAAGAAGCACCGGCUAACUCCGUGCCAGCAGCCGCGGUAAUACGGAGGGUGCGAGCGUUAAUCGGAAUUACUGGGCGUAAAGCGCGCGUAGGUGGCUUGAUAAGCCGGUUGUGAAAGCCCCGGGCUCAACCUGGGAACGGCAUCCGGAACUGUCAAGCUAGAGUGCAGGAGAGGAAAGUAGAAUUCCCGGUGUAGCGGUGAAAUGCGUAGAGAUCGGGAGGAAUACCAGUGGCGAAGGCGGCCUUCUGGACUGACACUGACACUGAGGUGCGAAAGCGUGGGUAGCAAACAGGAUUAGAUACCCGGGUAGUC
rnacentral:rRNA from 1 species